rnacentral:rRNA from 1 species
CAGUAGCCACGGUAAUACGGAGGGUGCAGGCGUUAAUCGGAAUUACUGGGCGUAAAGCGCACGCAGGCGGUUUGUUAAGUCAGAUGUGAAAUCCCCGAGCUUAACUUGGGAACUGCAUUUGAAACUGGCAAGCUAGAGUCUUGUAGAGGGGGGUAGAAUUCCAGGUGUAGCGGUGAAAUGCGUAGAGAUCUGGAGGAAUACCGGUGGCGAAGGCGGCCCCCUAGACAAAGACUGACGCUCAGGUGCGAAAGCGUGGGGAGCAAACAGGAUUAGAUACCCCUGUAGUCCCUGUCUCUUAUAC